rnacentral:rRNA from 1 species
AUUGAACGCUGGCGGCAGGCUUAACACAUGCAAGUCGAGCGGAGAGAGGUAGCUUGCUACUGAUCUUAGCGGCGGACGGGUGAGUAAUGCUUAGGAAUCUGCCUAUUAGUGGGGGACAACAUUUCGAAAGGAAUGCUAAUACCGCAUACGUCCUACGGGAGAAAGCAGGGGAUCUUCGGACCUUGCGCUAAUAGAUGAGCCUAAGUCGGAUUAGCGAGUUGGUGGGGUAAAGGCCUACCAAGGCGACGAUCUGUAGCGGGUCUGAGAGGAUGAUCCGCCACACUGGGACUGAGACACGGCCCAGAAUCCUACGGGAGGCAGCAGUGGGGAAUAUUGGACAAUGGGCGGAAGCCUGAUCCAGCCAUGCCGCGUGUGUGAAGAAGGCCUUAUGGUUGUAAAGCACUUUAAGCGAGGAGGAGGCUACUUUAGUUAAUACCUAGAGAUAGUGGACGUUACUCGCAGAAUAAGCACCGGCUAACUCUGUGCCAGCCGCCGCGGUAACAC